UAGGGAAUCUUCGGCAAUGGACGGAAGUCUGACCGAGCAACGCCGCGUGAGUGAAGAAGGUUUUCGGAUCGUAAAGCUCUGUUGUAAGAGAAGAACGAGUGUGAGAGUGGAAAGUUCACACUGUGACGGUAUCUUACCAGAAAGGGACGGCUAACUACGUGCCAGCAGCCGCGGUAAUACGUAGGUCCCGAGCGUUGUCCGGAUUUAUUGGGCGUAAAGCGAGCGCAGGCGGUUAGAUAAGUCUGAAGUUAAAGGCUGUGGCCUAACCAUAGUACGCUUUGGAAACUGUUUAACUUGAGUGCAAGAGGGGAGAGUGGAAUUCCAUGUGUAGCGGUGAAAUGCGUAGAUAUAUGGAGGAACACCGGUGGCGAAAGCGGCUCUCUGGCUUGUAACUGACGCUGAGGCUCGAAAGCGUGGGGAGCAAACAGGAUUAGAUACCCUGGUAGUCCACGCCGUAAACGAUGAGUGCUAGGUGUUAGACCCUUUCCGGGGUUUAGUGCCGCAGCUAACGCAUUAAGCACUCCGCCUGGGGAGUACGACCGCAAGGUUG
rnacentral:rRNA from 1 species